rnacentral:rRNA from 1 species
GACGAACGCUGGCGGCGUGCUUAACACAUGCAAGUCGAACGAAGUGGCGAACGGGUGAGUAACGCGUAAUCAACCUGCCCUUCAGAGGGGGACAACAGUUGGAAACGACUGCUAAUACCGCAUAAUGAAGGUGGGGGUUUCGUCUGAUUAGCUAGUUGGAGGGGUAACGGCCCACCAAGGCGAUGAUCAGUAGCCGGUCUGAGAGGGUGAACGGCCACAGUGGGACUGGGGCACGGCCCAGACUCCGACGGGAGGCAGCAGUGGGGAAUCUUCCGCAAUGGACGAAAGUCUGACUGAGCAACGCCGCGUGAGGGAUGACGGCUUUCGGGUUGUAAAGCUCUGUUAAUCGGGACGCGGUACCGGAAUAGAAAGCCACGGCUAACUACGUGCCAGCAGCCGCGGUAAUAC